CUGUAUAUUUGCAGGAACAUUAUUUAUUGAGUUUUGGAUCAGAUGCGGGGAUUUCUCCUGAACUCCACCGCCUCAAGCUGUCGUAGUUGGUGUCGUCCGUGCUGGAUUCGAUUGACCUACCAUUGUCUGCUACCGUGAGAGGUUGGUCCGCUGCGGGUGCUCGUGCUUCUGGUCGAUUCGUCCUGCUGCGUCGGUCUUUGUUCUGUAGGGCCAUGUCUGUUGGUGCCACGAAACGGCCAUGGCACCGCUUGUGUGAGCCACGACGGCGCUACCCGCGCGCCUGCCCAAAAAUGUUGCCGCGAG